rnacentral:misc_RNA from 1 species
GAUGAAGAACGCAGCGAAAUGCGAUAAGUAAUGUGAAUUGCAGAAUUCAGUGAAUCAUCGAAUCUUUGAACGCACAUUGCGCCCGCCAGUAUUCUUGCGGGCAUGCCUGUUCGAGCGUCAUUUCAACCAUCAAGCCCCCGGCUUGUGUUGGGGACCUGCGGCUGCCGCAGGCCCUGAAAACCAGUGGCGGGCUCGCUAGUCACUCCGAGCGUAGUAAUACAUCUCGCUCAGGGCGUGCUGCGGGUUCCGGCCGUUAAAAAGCCUUAUUUACCCAAGGUUGACCUCGGAUCAGGUAGGAAGACCCGCUGAACUUAAGCAUAUCAAUAAGCGGAGGA